rnacentral:rRNA from 1 species
GGGGAAUUUUGGACAAUGGGCGCAAGCCUGAUCCAGCCAUGCCGCGUGAGUGAAGAAGGCCUUCGGGUUGUAAAGCUCUUUCAGACGGAAAGAAAUCUCUCAGGAUAAUACCUUGGGAGGAUGACGGUACCGUAAGAAGAAGCACCGGCUAACUCCGUGCCAGCAGCCGCGGUAAUACGGAGGGUGCGAGCGUUAAUCGGAAUUACUGGGCGUAAAGCGUGCGCAGGCGGUUUGUUAAGCGAGAUGUGAAAGCCCCGGGCUCAACCUGGGAUGGUCAUUUCGAACUGGCAAGCUAGAGUCUAGUAGAGGGGGGUAGAAUUCCACGUGUAGCAGUGAAAUGCGUAGAGAUGUGGAGGAACACCAAUGGCGAAGGCAGCCCCCUGGGUCGAUACUGACGCUCAUGCACGAAAGCGUGGGGAGCAAACA